UGGGGAAUAUUGGACAAUGGGCGAAAGCCUGAUCCAGCCAUGCCGCGUGUGUGAAGAAGGUCUUCGGAUUGUAAAGCACUUUAAGUUGGGAGGAAGGGCAUUAACCUAAUACGUUAGUGUUUUGACGUUACCGACAGAAUAAGCACCGGCUAACUCUGUGCCAGCAGCCGCGGUAAUACAGAGGGUGCAAGCGUUAAUCGGAAUUACUGGGCGUAAAGCGCGCGUAGGUGGUUUGUUAAGUUAGAUGUGAAAUCCCCUGGCUCAACCUGGGAACUGCAUUCAAAACUGACUGACUAGAGUAUGGUAGAGGGUGGUGGAAUUUCCUGUGUAGCGGUGAAAUGCGUAGAUAUAGGAAGGAACACCAGUGGCGAAGGCGACCACCUGGACUAAUACUGACACUGAGGUGCGAAAGCGUGGGGAGCAAACA
rnacentral:rRNA from 1 species